UUGCGUAACGCGUGGGAAUCUGCCUUUAGGUUCGGAAUAACUUCCCGAAAGGGAUGCUAAUACCGAAUAAUGUCUUCGGACCAAAGAUUUAUCGCCUUUAGAUGGGCCCGCGUUGGAUUAGCUAGUUGGUGGGGUAAAGGCCUACCAAGGCGACGAUCCAUAGCUGGUCUGAGAGGAUGAUCAGCCACACUGGGACUGAGACACGGCCCAGACUCCUACGGGAGGCAGCAGUGGGGAAUAUUGGACAAUGGGCGAAAGCCUGAUCCAGCAAUGCCGCGUGAGUGAUGAAGGCCUUAGGGUUGUAAAAU
rnacentral:rRNA from 1 species